rnacentral:rRNA from 1 species
GGUGGUGCAUGGUUGUCGUCAGCUCGUGUCGUGAGAUGUUGGGUUAAGUCCCGCACGAGCGCAACCCCUAUUGUUAGUUGCCAUCAUUCAGUUGGGCACUCUAGCGAGACUGCCGGUAAUAAACCGGAGGAAGGUGGGAUGACGUCAAAUCAUCAUGCCCCUUAUGACCUGGGCUACACACGUGCUACAAUGGUUGGUACAACGAGUUGCGAGUCGGUGACGGCGAGCUAGUCUCUUAAAGCCAAUCUCAGUUCGGAUUGUAGGCUGCAACUCGCCUACAUGAAGUCGGAAUCGCUAGUAAUCGCGGAUCAGCACGCCGCGGUGAAUACGUUCCCGGGCCUU